rnacentral:rRNA from 1 species
AACGUAGGACGCAAGCGUUAUCCGGAGUUACUGGGCGUAAAGGGCAGGCAGGCGGGUCGAUAAGUCGGAUGUGAAAUCUCCCUGGCUUAACCGGGAGAGUGCAUUUGAGACUGUCAACCUGGAGGGCAGCAGAGGAGCGUGGAAUUCCGGGUGGAGUGGUGAAAUGCGUAGAGAUCGGGAGGAACACCUGUGGCGAAGGCGGCCGACUGGGCCGACCCUGACGCUGAGGCGCGAAGGCGUGGGGAGCGAACGGG